GAAGGCUGGAGACCUCACUUUGCCUCUGUAUCUGUGAAUGUGCAAAUAAGGACAUGGCAACAGGCUGAGGAAGCCCGACAGGAAAUCUGGGAUUGAGUUUUGGGAUCAUCAGGGCCAACUUUCUUAUUUGUAUAGAGGAGUAAACUGAGGCACAAGGAAAGGGAAUUGCCCGGCUAAAUUCUGGCUCUUUCACUUCCCGACUGUGUCAUCUAGGAAAACUCACUUGUCUGCUCUGAAAUGUAGGAUGCCAGCAGGGCUAAUUGUCUUUGGGCUGAGUGAGUGAGACAGCAGGAACAUGGAGAAUGGAGCCUGGUUUGGGGACAUAGUUGCUGUUUGCUGCCCAGGUUCUGCUUAGCAGCCUUCACAGAGCUAGCAACUGACAGAGUCAGGCCCAGACAGACCUGGCUGCAUUUUCCCAAGCUUGAGCUACUGUGGUAUCCAGAAUCUCAGCAUGCAGGCUCGCUGGAUACCUGCAUUUCCCAGUGUGGUCAAGUGCUAUUUUAGGAACUUUCUCUACAGAAAGUGCCUGGGGACAAUGGGCUCUGGCUGGCCGCCUCCAACCUCACAGUCUGUUCUCAGGGGUGGGUGGCCUCUAUGUCCUGUCUGUCUGUCUGUGUCCCCAGGUGCCCUGUACAGCUGCCCUCUUCCUGCUUGUCUGCUACAAGGGACACAAAUGUGGGGCUGAGGCCUCAGAGGCUAUAGCCACUUAGUAGGGAUAUGUUCCUCAGCAGCAAGCUCUCCCUGAGGUUUGGGGUGUGGGACAAGAGGCUUCUGGCUGUGAGGUUUGAGUGAGUGUCUAAUCCCUAAUCUGCCUCUCUUUCCUCCUCUGUUAGAGCUUGAGCAGGAAUGCUAACCUCACGUGAUGGUUCUGAGACUCUGAGAGGUCUGGGCAAAGCACAGGGAGCUGCCCAUACCCUGUACACAGUAGUGUGUCUGUCUCGGUAGCUUUUAACCUAGCUUCGUGAAUUCAGAGGAGACUAGGAUAUAGAGCAAAGAACUACAAUUUAAAAUGCAAUGGUAUUUUAAAUAAUCACAAAGAUAAAAGGUCAAAAUUGAGAGUUAAUUGAAAAUAUAGUGUGGUCCUAGAAAGUCAAAGAAAUUGACAAUGGUUCUCAGAGAGAGAGAGAGAGAGAGAGAGAGAGAGAGAGAGAGAGAGAGAGAGAGAGAGACAGACAGAGAGAGAGAGAGAGAGAGAGAGAGAGAGACAGAGAGACAGAGAGACAGAGAGACAGAGAGACAGAGACAGAGAGAGACAGAGAGAGACAGAGGAAGCAACUUUAAAGCUGUUUUUUCUAGCUCCGUGAGUUCCUCCUGCCUUUCCACUUCUGCCUGGGUUUGUCAUCAUUGUUUAAGACAUUGACUUCAAAAUAAACGUGCCAGGAGGGUCUACAAGGCUGAUAAUCUUAUACUGCAUGACUUUGAGGGGAGUUUUGAUUAACAAUAAGUCCUAUCAAUGGAGUUCAUUUGCAUUUAUACUCUUAAAUCAGGUAAUGGAAGCCUGCUGGUCACGGUAUAGUAGGCAAGCAAAAUGCAUUUUACUGGGUUUCAAAAUGGAGGAAAAAAAAAAAACUCUCUUUAGAGGAGUUGCUGAAUCAAUGUGGAUGAUGACAGACCCAAGACUGGCUUCUUAAUCCUCCUCCUUUCGUGCAUGGUCACUACAUUAUUCAGGAUGAGUCACGUGAUGCUGAGGUAACAAGCACCCCCAAGGCUCCCAGAGACAGAAGCAAAAUCAUUUCUUCUGUAAGUGACAUAUCUCUUAUCAGUUUGUCUGGGUCCCAGGAAGCCAGGCUGAAGCAACUUCUGUGGAUCACACUGCCAGUUGUCAUGGUCUAGGGACACAGUGGUAGACUCUCUGGUAAAUCAACAGCUCCCACCUGGAAGUAGCUCACAUCGCUUCAGCUUCAGAUUGGAGGUCACAGCCAAAGCAAGGACGUAUCUAGCUAUCACAAAGUGGAGAAGCGUUCCUACUUUGGGUCUGGGUGAACAGCUCCACUAUGUCUACACACACGCUUUUGCGGCUACCAACUCCUGGUAGGUUAUUGACCUGCUCUUUGCUGUCUUCACAGCGCCAGGCUGCUGUAGAAAUGGAUCAGUGUUCAUGUGACGGGACCAAAAUAGGAAAUGGUGUCAGAAAAUUUGAUCUUCUGUUUCGUUUCCUCCUUUGGCACCUCUCCUUCCUUGACUCUGGUCUCAGUGACUGGCAUGAUCCUGGGUCACCAUUCAGCCUCUCCAAGCAUCUGUCUUGCAGAUGGCAGAUGGGGACAUUCUUAGUCCUCUAUGGAUCAUAAUGGACAUGCAAAGGAUGGUCAAUGAGGACCCCCAGUGCCCUCAUCUGGGAUUCUUGAGUGCCCAUCAAGGCUGAGUUUUCCAUUCAUCCUGCUCUUCAAAUUCCUACUAGGCACACAGUCUACUCUGAUCUCUCCACUACUACUCCCCUCCUGUUUCCAUGAAGUCAAACAGUCCCAAAACCUCUGGACUCAUUUGUGUGACCUUGAAACCAUCUAUCUGGAAAGAGAACAGGAAGUAGAGGAUGCCAUGGCAACAGAUAACCGAAGCCAGCAUGGAAUGGAGCUAAUGGGCAGGGCUGCUCUCUGUGAAUACUUACCAGUGAGCCCACAAGUCGUCAGUCACCAUCUGUUCUGAUCGGCUGAUGUCAAUGUUCUCCUACUCAUUGAACUGACAGUCUUGGUCUGAUACCUGUUGCCCAUUGCUCAAUGCCAGAAAGUUUCAUAGACUUCUUCUCCUGACUUGGCUCACCAUAGAGGGGUAGGAAAAGAAGUCGAAGGGAUAAGAAGAAAGGAGUGUCCUGAAGUGACAGGUGGUUCUUCCCAUGGGGACUAGCAUCAACCAGAAGUGACUGGGUUGAUGUUGAUCGUCAAACUGUAGCUUCUCACCAGCAUCUUGUGAAAUAAUUUAAGUUCAAUCUAGUGCAAUGAAGAAAGCUCCGUAUUUUAGCAUGCAAAAUCUCAAACUGCUGCAUCUAAGCAUCUUCUCUUGUAUGUGAGUGUUAAAUGGCUCUCAAAGGCUCUGCCGUCAUUCCUCUGCUUAGGAGGAUGAGAAGACUCGUGUUCUAUGAUGGUAGAGGGUGAUGGUGUGAUGCCCCAGUGGAGUCUGACUUACCAGCUGGCAAAGGGGACAUUACCUUUGUACUUUUUAGGGAUUAAGAAACGCUGAUAGAGACCCCAUGACAGAUGAGAGACCAAACCAUAUGUUUCUUCCGCAUGAAUUAAAAUCAGACCUUGAUUUGGUUUCAAACAGGAGAAAUAUCGAAUCCAAGAGUCAAAUCCAAACCAAGCCAACUAAGAAAACAAGAAGAGAGGCCAAAAAGAAAAGGGAAGGAAUGAAAAGAGUAAAAAGCAAAGGAAAAAGAGAAGUGCAAGAUAAAAUCCUGAGUGACUGUGUUAUUGCCACGAGCAUGGCCAUGGAAUGGCAAGGCUUUCUCCUGAGCCAGGCUCAGAGGAAUAGUAAGACUUCUUCUGGUCAGAGGUCAGCCAUUGACAGUGUGUGCACAAAGCAUCCACAUCAGUUUCCUUCUCCAGGGUGACUGCAACCUGUGGCUGAGUUCCUACGGAGACCUCCUACUGAAAUGAGUUAACCAGCCUGGAACCGGCCUCACUCCUGCCUUAUAGAAUAAACACACUGAGUUUCUAGGCUGCUCUUAGUGCCUCUCCAUGGAGUGCACAGGUUACCUCAUCCCAGCUUUUGGUGUGCCUGUCUGUCAUUUCCUCAUUCCCUUUUGCCCCAGUUAGGUCAAGUACAGAUCAUGGCACACACCGUUGAUGUCUCUGUUUUAACACAGAGUCAGUAAAAGGAGCUAAAAUAGUCUUCUAGAAAAGGAAUCCUUCAACAUGUCCGCAGACAAAAUUUCAGAAGUUUUAAAGAUAAAUAUUUUUCAUAUAUAAAAGCGAUAGGCAGAUUUAAAGGGACUUAAGGAGAAAUUACAUGCCCCUUAAAAAAUGUUUCCUUUGCCUGGAUGGGGUAGGAUUAGGACACUGGAAGUCUCUGAUUAGGGAUCUAGAGAUAUGAACAAUUGGUCUAGAGAUGGGCAUGCUGUAGUUUAUACCUGGAUGUCACCCAAAGACCCAUGUUCGGGUCUUUUUAAAAGCUUGGCAUAGCCCAUAGAGCCAGUAGGUGGUGGAAACUUUAGGAGGUAAGGCCCUGGAGCAGAGAAAAUAAUAUGUAUUAUUAUAUAUAAAUAUGUAAAUGACUGCCCUGUCUAUAUAGACAAUUUUGUUAAAAAGAUAAUAACCAUAGAUUUGUGUGGUCCAGUCAUUUGUCAGUACGAUUCAGGAUGACAAGAGGUGAUACUUGCACAUCAGCUUAUUAUUUAGUCAGUGCUUGAGAAAAUUCUGUGUCAUCUCCAGGCACCAUAGCUUUCUAUGCAGGCUCAAGAAUGACUUCUCUUUCCAUGGGGCAUCUACCACACAUCCCUCCUCCAAAGUCUCAGGGAACAUUGCAGAAGAAGGGGUGGGAACAGUGUGAGAGCCAGAGGGAGGAGGGGUGUGGAAAGUUGACUUCCGGGCAGGGCAUGACUACUGCCUUCUCUUACUCAAAGGAGUUGUGAUUACCUGCGGAAGACCGGAUCUGUCAACAACUCAUCAUGGAAGGAGGAGGGGCUCAUGAGUCCCCAUUCCUCUAUAAGGAUGUAUGAUGCACAGGGAAGAGACAUUUUCUUUAGUGGUGGUAAGGUACACAUGCUUCUGUGAUCAGACUCCCACCCACAGUUCUUUAAAUAACCCUAAUGGAAAACACACACACACACACACACACACACACACACACACACACGGAGACAUGAAUGAAAGUCAGAAAGGUAGUUGGGAAGAGGAAGGGCAUCACUGCAGGUAAGAGGGAAACAAGAAAGGGUGAAUCUGAUCAAAAUCCAUUCUAUACACAUACAAAAACGUCACAACGAAGCCCCAUCAUUAUGUAUUGUUAACACAUGCUAAGGAAAAUCCUUAAGAAGGAUGAUGUCUCUGUGUUCUUCGGUGUUGAAUGUGCUGCUCCUGAGGAACAUCUUCCACGAAGGAGAGGUGAAAUUGCACUAUCACUCACAGUGUAGCUCUCAGUGCCUGUGUGUGUUGAAUCUCUCUUCAGAUCCCCGACAACUACUCAUUUAGUCUGGUCGUGUCAUAGCUCAUAGCACCCAGUCCUCUAUGGUGCUGCCCUGGAACAGUGGCUUCCAAGAACUUUAUUAUUGAUUGUCACUUGGCUGCUCUGUUGAUGAUCAUGAAUGCACCUGUGCAGAAAAAUGCAAAGGCAAAUUCAUUUUCUGCCCAUGUUGAGCUCACUAUCAACAUUUGAACUAUGAACUACAAAUGUGGAAUAAUGUAUGUUUUCAACCACAUCUUCUCUGGGAUGCAGGUUAUAUCACUGCAUUCCUAGAGAUCUCUUUCAAUGUUGACAGUAGGAGAGGAUCCUCAGAGCCCAUCAAGAAGAGUUUUCACAUUGCUGUGAAAAGACCAGUCUGGGAAAAUGAUGAGGGGACAUGCAUUGUAAAGAUCCAUGGCCAUGCGCACUGUGGAGCAAGUCUUUAAACACCUUAGAGUUGGAGGCCACUCCUGAACACCUAAUGUGACAAGGAGCCUGUCAUAGGUGGGGAUGGGGGAAGAGUGGAUCAGAUUUAGAGUAGCAAUGGGAGAGGGAGAGAGAGAGAAAGAGAGAGAGAGAGAGAGAACUGAUUACACUCCACUAGGGGUCUAUAGAUGGGAGACAGUAUUGUCUUGGGAACACUGAGAGACAUAUAAUGGCAGGUCCAAGCUGAGGUAGAUAAUAAAUUCAGAGUCCUGAAGUACCUUAUGUCCAGUGUGACUGAGUCAAAUCAGAAUGUCAGCACCACUCUGGAAGCUAAAUCUGAGUCCAGUGGACUGAUCUGUUCACAGACACGUGCUUGUAACAAGGCCUGGCUACAGGCCUAGGCAAUCAUGGAGGUAUGGAGACCAGGCUUAUUUAAGGCAUCUGGUCAACCUCACGAUGGGAUAGAUAGUUGGAAAGUGCUCUGAAGAGAAUCAGUGGAGGAGGGGAGGGGUGGAGCCUGUGCUAUUCACAGUAUAGGGUCCUAAGAUCCAAAUGGCAUAUUGGUACUAGGAGAUCUCAAGCAACUGAGAAAAUACACAUAGGUCUGUGGGGUGCUGUUUAGAAUGUGACAAAUGGAUUUGGAAGCAUUGGAGGUGCUAUGUGUGGAUUACCAGACCUGGCUUGGAGUCAGCUCUUCAUUAAGCAACAAGUCUGCCUGUAUGAGUGGCAUAAGUUUUCAAAUGACACCAACUACUAGGAAGGCUAUGCAUGUGUUCAUUCCCUUCAUUCACCUGUAUACACACAGACAUUUAUAUGGAAGUGCAUAUAAGUAUAUAUAGUUCAUGUAAAAUAAGAUAUAAUUCAUAUCCCAUAUUUUACAAAUGUACAUGUCAGGAUAGGUAUUUAUACCAUUCACACCUGUGUCUCUCCCAUUUUGUCGAUGUAUGUGGUCUUCUUCAUUUGCUUACUUAAUUCUUUUUCAUUUAUGAAACCUAUUCUGUAGCAAACAAAGUUUCAUGUUUCUUACCUAAAUGAGCCACUUUAUUUUGAGAAAUGACCCUCAGAUAGCACAAAUGUUCGUUUCUUCACUUCCCAGGAGAACAGGACAGGUGUGAUGCUGAGUACUCGGCUCUCUGUCUAGUCACAGCUUCUUUCCAGUUGAUAACUUUUGUGUAAUUUGGAAAUGAUCUUCGUUUAACCCUGUUCAUCCAGCUUGAACUUUUCUUUCAGUUUACAGGGCUUCUUGCCGCGUUUUCAUUAGAAAAACUUCAUAAAGGAAAAACUUGAGCAAAUAAAGGAAAUGAAAACCCCA